GGAUCAGAGAGGUAAGUCACACAGCUAGUUAGUGGCACAGCUGAAGCCUGAACUGGAGCUUUCUGAUUGCAGUGGGAGAACCUUCAGGAGGCAGUGCCUCUGAAACUGGCCUGCUGCUGAUCAUAGCUGCCUGACGACACCAUUGCAGCUGAGGUCAUGGAGCUGGAGGAGAAGAAACAGAGCCACAGUUUGGAGGCUUUUCAGCGAUCCAGGCCAUCCCUGGCUCAGAUGAAGUGCUGGCCAUGUGGGGAGCUCUUUGAUAGACUUGGUUGGGGAUGGGGCCAUAAGAUAUGUUUUGGACAGACACUGGUCUGAUUGGGGAGGAGGCACCCACACCCCCUUGACAAACCUCUGAAACGGGAAAACAACAGGCACAUGUGUGGAUAAGAAAUAUGGUGCACUCCAAGUAGAAUCACAGGAUCAUGGAAUUCUGAGC